GGGCUUUUGGAGGCUGCAGCCUAGGGCCAAGGGAUGGAGGCUCACCUGUGUGCAGGUUAGGCAGGUGAAGUGUCUCCCCGGAAACCAAGCUAGAGUGCCCCACCUGCUCGGCCUUGCCUUCUCAGAUCGGAUCCAGCACAUCCAGGCUUCUCGUGAGUUCCCCCAUUGUCCCCCAACGC
rnacentral:sRNA from 1 species